rnacentral:rRNA from 1 species
CCGAGUGGUGUGGAUGUUUAUUGGGCCUAAAGCAUCCGUAGCUGGCUGGGCAAGUCCCCUGUUAAAUCCACCGAUUUAAUCGUUGGCGUGCGGGGGAUACUGCUCGGCUAGGGGACGAGAGAGGCCGACGGUAUUUCCGGGGUAGGGGUGAAAUCCUAUAAUCCCGGGAAGACCACCAGUGGCGAAGGCUGUCGGCUAGAACGCG